GCCGAUUUAGCUCAGUUGGUUAGAGCAUUUGCUUAGUAAGCAAAAGGUCAGGAGUUCGAAUCUCCUAAUUGGCU